rnacentral:rRNA from 1 species
CCUACGGGAGGCUGCAGUGGGGAAUAUUGCACAAUGGGGGAAACCCUGAUGCAGCGAAGCCGCGUGAGUGAAGAAGUAUCUCGGUACGUAAAGCUCUAUCAGCAGGGAAGAUAAUGACGGUACCUGACCAAGAAGCCCCGGCUAACUACGUGCCAGCUGCCGGGGCAAAAAGUAGGGGGCAAGCGUUAUCCGGAUUUACUGGGGGUAAUGGGGGCGUAGACGGCAGCAAAAGUCUGGAGUUAAAUCCCGGGGCUUAACCCCGGAACUGCUUUGGAAACUGUGCGGCUGGAGUGCAGGAGGGGUAGGCGGAAUUCCUAGUGUAGCGGUGAAAUGCGUAGAUAUUAGGUGGAACACCGGUGGCGAAGGCGGCUUACUGGACUGUAACUGACGUUGAAGCUCGAGAGCGUGGGGAGCGAACAGGAUUAGAUACCCGAGUAGUC